rnacentral:tRNA from 1 species
AAGACUUUAGGUUAAUGUGAAAACUCAUAGCCUUCAAAGUUAUACAUAUCUACAAAAAAAUUGGGUAAGUCUUA